CCAAGUCAACAAGUUUAAUCCUCAAGCCAUGGUUAACAAAUUUUUCGGUUAUCAAACCACUUUUUAAAAUCUAAAAUCAACAUCAAACAUAUACAUCCAACGAAGAUUCAAGCAUUUAAGCACACCACUCCUACGUAUCCACAACAACGAUCAAUAUCUUACUAAAAAUUCAAUCAAAACACAAAAUCACGGCAUUAACCAAAAUCCGAGAAAACGAAUGAGUAGAGUUAAAGAGAUGGACCUUAAUAGAAC
rnacentral:lncRNA from 1 species